rnacentral:rRNA from 1 species
ACCUUCGGGCCUCUUGCCAUCAGAUGUGCCCAGAUGGGAUUAGCUUGUUGGUGAGGUAACGGCUCACCAAGGCGACGAUCCCUAGCUGGUCUGAGAGGAUGACCAGCCACACUGGAACUGAGACACGGUCCAGACUCCUACGGGAGGCAGCAGUGGGGAAUAUUGCACAAUGGGCGCAAGCCUGAUGCAGCCAUGCCGCGUGUAUGAAGAAGGCCUUCGGGUUGUAAAGUACUUUCAGCGGGGAGGAAGGUGUUGUGGUUAAUAACCGCAGCAAUUGACGUUACCCGCAGAAGAAGCACCGGCUAACUCCGUGCCAGCAGCCGCGGUAAUACGGAGGGUGCAAGCGUUAAUCGGAAUUACUGGGCGUAAAGCGCACGCAGGCGGUCUGUCAAGUCGGAUGUGAAAUCCCCGGGCUCAACCUGGGAACUGCAUUCGAAACUGGCAGGCUUGAGUC